CCCAAUUCAACCCAUUUUUGUAUUUGAUUCAAACUGCCAGGAUAACGCUCUGACAUAAAUUUACACAACGGUGGCAGGAUAUUAGUCUCAUGGUUUUCACCCGUCUCCCCUUUACUCUGAACACUACCCAUUUAGCUAUCUGUAUCUGUAUACAAGGAGUGUACGCGCCUAUAAAGGUGCGCACAAACGGAGAAAUACCACAUGCAUAACUAAGGAGACACAGGAUGUUGCAACCUUGUGACGAAUACUACAGGUCUCGUCGGGACGGCAGCUUCUCACCCUCAGGGAGGAAUCACCUAUACUAAAUGGCCUCCUGUCCGUCCGUCAGAGUCCAGAUCACGCGUUCAUCCCAUCCUCGUCGCCAAG
ensembl:lncRNA